AGAAUCAACGCUGGCGGCGUGCCUAACACAUGCAAGUCGAACGAGAAAGUGGGAGCAAUCCCACGAGUAAAGUGGCGCACGGGUGAGUAACACGUGACUAACCUACCCUUGAGUGGGGGAUAACCUAGGGAAACCUGGGCGUAAUACCGCAUAAUACCUACGGGUCAAAGGAGCAAUUCGCUUAAGGAGGGGUCGCGGCAGGAUUAGUUAGUUGGCGGGGUAAUGGCCCACCAAGACAGUGAUCUGUA
rnacentral:rRNA from 1 species